AAGAUCGUACUUUCAGGGAUCAUUUCUUGAGUGCGUAUCUUGGCCUCUCGAGGCAAUCUAGACGACGUUCGUCAGUCCGAUGAUGACAGAUGACGUCUCUCUUGAGCAUGAGAGUGCAAUCGAACUUCUGUUUGUUUGUUUCGAUGAUUGCUUACCAUAUCAGGGAAAGAGAGCUCGCAAUCUGAGGGCU